GAAGGUUUCAACUCUGACAUGGAACUGACUAAUUGACUUUCUGAUCCACGAUGCUGUGGAAAGAAGGGGCGACGAGAUAAUCCUGGAGAGAGGAAGGAAGGCCUUUGGCAGCUGAAAGGUUUUCCUGAUUUACUCAGACGUUGAAGAAAGAGAGCAAAGGCAAUCUGCCAAUGUGGGCAGAGAGUGCAUAAGCGACUGGAGGAAUACCGUGCUGAAGGAGAUCCCAGCAGAGCAUGGAGAAAGGAGAGCACCCCAGGAGAGAGUAUGUCCUACACGGCAGCACUCCAGGAGUCCUUCGUGGAUAGGCACCCCUUCCAGACCUUGCAGAUGAAUGUUCCCUCCUCCCCAGGUUCCGUGGCCUGGACUCCCAGGAGCCCUAGAAUGCAUUUGUGUGAGAAGGACAGCCUCACACUCCAUCCCCAAGGAUGUACCGUGGACCAAAAGGCUGUCCUCCCUCCCUGAAGUUCCCCCCUGGAUUCCUGUUCUGUCACUGCUCUGUGUUUCUUUAAUAA